rnacentral:misc_RNA from 1 species
UUGGCCUUAUUUGUUGACCUGAGCUCAGGCAAAAUUUUCAUUGGCCAAUAUUGAGUUUAGUCAUGAACUAGACACAUGCUUCCGGUAAAUUGUCCGAAGGACUUUGAUACACAGUAUUACUGCAAAAAUAUCUGCCUAUCGUGAAAACUAAGGGAACUGAAGGACGGAAAACACGUCAAGGGCAAAUCAGCCUUACGAAAAGACGAGGUUGUAUAACUUGGAAUAAUUGAAUCUCCAUAUAAUUUAGCCGUCCAACGAUGACAGCUUCAGAUUUAAAGUAGUCAGGAGAAUUCUUUCGUCUUUUGGUUAUAGAAAAAAGAAAUAAUAUGUCAGGUCAUCCUGUACGGCGUUAUUAAAGUAAUCCAGGCCUGAUCGGAUAUCCAAACGGAGAAAGUACCAAGUUGUCGUUAAAAUGGAGACUUUGGACUCUGAAGCGUCAGACGAUCUGUCUUACUGUGAUUUAGACAGUUUCCCGGAGGUGCUCUUAGAAAGGUCCAAAGAAAUCCAAAGCUUGCAGCUGAGCCACAACCAGAUUACCAUUCUACCUCGAAGUAUUGGUGCUUUUGUUAACCUUAUCGCCUUAGAUCUCAGCAACAACGGUUUAUCCUACAUCAGUGAUGAAAUUAUACAUUUAAAACAAUUGAAAACAUUGAUUGCACGCAAUAAUGCAUUGGACCAGGCAGCCUUGCCGAAAGAAUUUGCAGUAUUAAAUAAUUUAGAGGUAGUGAAUUUUAGUGGGAAUAAUUUUUCACAAUUUCCCCUACAACUGACUCAGAUGCCAAGUCUUCGGAGGGUCUACCUUGGAAGUAACCGUUUGCAGUCUGUGCCAAAUGAUAUCAAAUUUAUGAUAGGAUUAGAAAUACUGUACCUAGGGGGCAACAAUUUGACAGAAAUCCCAGCAGAAAUUGGCCAUCUGUCACAGCUGACAGCGCUGAACCUGUGCGACAACAAGCUUCAGAGCCUGCCCCCAACACUAAUGAACCUCCAGAAGCUGCAAUCACUCAGCCUUCACAACAACAGCAUUUGUGUGCUUCCACAAGAAAUUGUGGCCCUGGACUUGGUUGAGCUAAGCUUGAGAAAUAACCCUCUGGUGGCAAGAUUUGUACAAGAUUUGGUGUACAAGCCGCCAUCUUUGUUGGAGCUUGCUGGGAGGGUGUUGAAGACCAAGGCUGUGCAGUAUGAAGAGAGCGAAGUUCCCAGAAAUCUAGUGGAUUAUCUUGCAUCUGCCCAGAGUUGUGUUAAUCCAAGAUGUAAAGGUGUUUACUUCACCUCCAGGUGGGAGCACGUGAAAUUUGUGGACUUCUGUGGGAAGUAUCGUGUGCCCCUGCUACAGUACCUCUGUGCCCCUAACUGCACCCCUGCCAGCCCCCUAGUGAGCCUCUCUAGCAGUGACUCCGAGCCAGAGGAUGACAUCCCUGUAGUAAAGAUGAAGAAAGUGUUGCUGGGUUAAAAUGCAAGACAAUACAAAAUGGUGCAUCCAAGAUAGGAUAUAUACAUAUUUAUGUUUUUUUUUUUUUUUUUUUUUUUUUUUUUACUAAAAGACUAAGUGUAUUCUGCUGUAUUGAAAUAUUGCUCACAAGACUGCAAGUAUUGCUAUAAACAAAUGCUAUCCUAUAUGAUGGCUUAUUGCUAAGUUAUAUUUGUAUAAUUGCACAAAAAUUAAACAAGUCAUAAUUUUUUAUAAUGAUUUUUUUUUUGUUAAUGGGUGUAAAUUACAGGAUUACCUCUAAAUUUUGAACAUGGAGGUCAUUCAAAAUGUGAGGCAGUGUAUCAGAAAAACGGGUGGAUUUUUUUUUGUGAAUUUUUCAUGACAGUGUGUCAGCCUCAUAGUUGUACUGUGAAAGUACUGUAAAAGUCCAUGGACAGUGUGUCAACUUCAUGACAGCGUGUCAAGCUCAUGGUUGUAUCGUAAAAGUUCAUGGACAAACUGUAGGCUGAUCAAAAUGUUUUAAAUCUAGAGAAGAAGGCCAGUAUUCCACUGUGAGAUAUCUAGUCACAGAUUGGUAAAUCUAGUCGCAGACAAGGAGAGGUGAUGAUAGCUGAACACUUUGAACUGGACUGGAGUGGAUAUUGAAUUGUACGACUUUCAGUUCUUGUUGACUGUGCUUCCAGUAAAAUAUUGUUAAGUUGGGAAGCUUAUUGAGCUUUUCAGCUCAGUUUUACUCUACUUUAUUUUAGAAAUGAAGUUCUUCCUUGCCAUAUCUAAUUUGACACAUUGCCAGAAAAUUAAAGUAUUUCUCUUUAUCACUGUUGGAGUGACAGUGUUACCAAACAUGACUGUCCAGUUAGGCUUAUAUUGCUGCCUGCAGUACUCCAUUUAAACCACUGUAUUUUUACUGAUAAUUAUGAUCAUAUAUAUUUCUUGACAUAUGUAACAAAUAGAUAAAUAACCUAAGGUGAAUAAAAUUAUUUAUCAUAUAUUUUGUGUCCGCGGUCAUAAAUCCAAACCAUGCAAUUUUAUGCUCA